CACGGUUUUUAAUAUUAGAAGCUGUGAUGAUGCUAAACCGGAUCGGAUCCGGCCAGAUUCACAAACCGUUUUAGGAAGUGAUCUAGUUCUGGCUUAGAUAAUAAUGUGAUACAUGCAGGGUCUGAUCCAGAACAGGCCGAGCAGUUCCAGGACAGACCACAGGGACAGCCUGGCACUGUUCAGUCACACACCCAAAGCCAAUCAAACACCAAAUUCUUAACAUUUCCAACGAACAUGCUGAAAACUCGUCCAAAGGAUUCCGGUCUAAACAACUUCAAGCUUACAGCGGGCUCCGCCUCUGCCUUCUGCUGAUGUUUCCCACCGAAAAUUAACCAGAUCAGAUUUCCGACAUUUUAUUUAUUUUUUAAACCUGACAACUUGACAUUUAAAUCCCUCUUUUACGGCCUGAUAAAUCGUUUUACGGGAUAACAUCCGUCUUAUCGGGGCGUCGAACACCAAGGGCAGCGAUUCAAGUUGAAAACAUGACAGGAAGAUACUCACCGGCUGAAUGUGUCCGAAUAUGUCGAGGCUUUUGGGACAAACGGGCAACGUUUUCUGCAAGUCAGAAGUUUAAAAAAAAGAAGAAACACGACGACGCAGCGCGAGCCACAGAAAAGGAGCCAACUAGAACAUUAACGGUGGCCACGGCUAGUUAUUCCAGUUAGUUUCAUAAUGAAACACGAUGGAUGACAAAAACCGGUGUCUGGUUGGUGUCCAGCCCGUCAAACGGCGCUUCCAGUCGGUAAAAACUCUGUAUUUUUCUGUCGUUGUCCUGAAACUAGAGGUGGAAACCAAAGUGCUACUGUUGGGGGUUAACAACUUUGCUGUGAAAGACGCGAUCUGAUUGGUCAGCCACGGCCACCAAUCACCUGUGGCGAGUCCUGGGAUCGUGACGUCGCGUGCCACAAGGGAUGGGACGAGACGUGAUUGGUUGACACUGUUAGCAAGGUUAGCUUUAGCUGACAGCUAAUUUUACAUAUUAGUUUAACUACCUCGAUUUGUAACACGAGUUGUUUGUUUCACAGCGCUGUAGUUGAACCUGCCAGCACCUCUGGCCAGUUUCGUUUCAGUUCCUCAUAUUUAUGCAUUUUAAACUAGUUUAAUCUUCAAAAAAUGUCAGCUAUAUCGAUUUACUUUGCAUUUCUUCGCUUAUUUUUCAAAAUAAACAAAUUGUUACACAUUUGAGAUUAGCCACAUGAAAAGGAGCAAAAUGUACUUUGUUUAAAUCAGAUUUCACAGCGAGGAAAAAGGGAAUACAAGGGAAUGUCACCUCUGUAAGCAGGAAUAAACAAAGACCAAUAAAACCAACUUCUGUGUUGUUAAAAAAAUUGAAACUUGACCUGCUUACAUUAACUGUUUAAUAUCAUUUUAACGUUGAAUACAAAACUUUAACAUAAACAUUUACUACAUGUGAGCAAAAACUACAAAUUCUAACAAUUUUAUUCCUUUAAAUUUAGUUUCUUGAGCUUCAUUGGUUUAAUGAUUAAAUAGUUGCCUGACUAAUAAUCUGAAAAUCCCAAAGUAUUUGUUUACCUCUCAGGAACAAAGUCCCAAAUUCAUCAGUAAAUUAAGACACAUAUACAAAAGAAUAACAGCACCACCACCUCAUAAUGGGGUCAAAUGUUUUGAAGGUUUAUUCAAUAAAUAAUUACAGAAAAGAUUGCCUGAACAUGUGGCAAAAAUGAACAAAAGGCACUUUGAAACAGUUUUUUUCUUUUAAACUAUGACAAAAAAAUUAGGAUGCAGGCAUUUUUCUCUUUAUCACUAAUCAUGAUUGUUUAGUAUAAAACGUUUGAUCGAGAAAACAUAAAAAGACAGAUGGUGGAAUUACUGACAGAGAGAGGAAAGUUGAUGCUCUUCCAGUUUGUAAUCCACAGGUAAAACAAAAAUCUAGCUACAGAAAAAGGAAUAUUUGGUACGGCUGAUUAGAAAUGAAGAAC